rnacentral:sRNA from 1 species
AGAUGAAGCCUUUACAUAAGGCAACAUUUUUUAUGAUUUAUAACGUAAGGCAACAUUAUAUGAUUUAUAAUGUAAGGCAACAUUUUUUAUGAUUUAUAUCCCCAUUUGCUUUCCAAAGGGAUCCAAGGUAGCUUAUGAUAUUAACAGGUUACAGAUUGUAUUAUUUCUAAGUUGUACAAGGAGUGAGAAAGUAAUGUUCAGAAGCUUAGGAGAGGCGGGUGAAGGUGCUUCCUGGCAGGUUUGGGGUUUGAAUUUUGACCAGACAGUCACUUUUCUUGACUCUCCUGCCCUACGCUGGCCUAUGUGACUUACCAGGAUAUCCGUGCUGUCGGCAACUUUAAGGAGCAGACAGUGAUUGCCGUCAAGGCCCCUCCGCAGACGAGACUGGAAGUGCCUGACAGGACUGAGGACAACCUGCAGAUAUAUCUCAAGAGCACCCAAGGGCCCAUCGAAGUCUACCUGUGCCCAGAGGAGGUACAGGAGCUGGACAGUCCUUCCGAGGAGCCUCUCCCCUCUACCUCCACCCUCUGCCCCAGCCCUGACUCUGCCCAGCCCAGCAGCAGCACCGACCCUAGCA